UAUGGGGAGUAUCGACCCUCUCCGUGCCGAAGCUAACGUCAUAAGUGUCCCGCCUGGGGAUUACGGCCGCAAGGCUAAAACUCAAAGGAAUUGACGGGUCCCCGCACAAGCAGCGGAGCGUGUGGUUUAAUUCGAUGCAACGCGAAGAACCUUACCAAGGCUUGACAUGCUGGAAGUAGAGACCCGAAAGGGCGACGAACUGUUGAGUCAGUAACCUGCACAGGUGAUGCAUGGCUGUCGUCAGCUCGUGCCGUGAGGUGUUGGGUUAAGUCCCGCAACGAGCGCAACCCUCGUUGCCAGUUGAAUUCUCUGGCGAGACUGCCCCGCAAAACGGGGAGGAAGGUGGGGAUGACGUCAAGUCAGCACGUCCCUUAUGCCUUGGGCUACACACACGCUACAAUGGGUGGUACAAUGGGCAGCGACAGAGCGAUCUGAAGCUAAUCCCCAAAACCAUCCUCAGUUCGGAUUGCAGGCUGAAAUUCGCCUGCAUGAAGUUGGAGUUGCUAGUAAACGCGUAUCAGCACGGCGCGUUGAAUACGUUCUCGGGGAUUGUACACACCGCCCGUCACGUCAUGAAAGUCGGCAACACCUGAAGUCGAUGGGCUAACUCCGAUUUAUCGGGGAGGCAGUCGCCGAGGGUGGGGUUGAUGAUUGGGACGAAGUCGUAACAAGGUAGCCG
rnacentral:rRNA from 1 species